GCUACAGUCGUCACUUUCAUCCGUAAGCUUCCACAUUCAUUAAGAUUGCAGUGAACUAAGAACGAAUAUAUGAAAGGUUUGCACUACAUUUGCAGCUCUGGCAUAAGUCUUGUGUCCUCUGCUUACCGUGGUGAAAAUCAAUAUAUAGCGGCUGUCUGAGGCAUUGCCGGCGGCCACCGUGGCCUAUGUACGCAAGUGAAUAAACGCCAUUUAAGAAGAGCUCACUGUUGGGUGCUGUUAUGUGACCAAAUAUGGUAGUGCCCCUAUAGGUACGGAGCGGUAAACGCUGAAUAGCUAACCUCUUUCACGCCAACUUCGACUGCUGGUAAGGGCCCGAAUUCAAAACAUUGGAAAAGACAGUCUAAGUAAACGAGCAUGUGCAACUUGGCAUGUGCCACGGGGCACGGUAACAUUCUUACAAACUCUUAUACCUUCCUUAUUGCAAUGGCCAACAGCCCCAUGCGUGGCACAUGCAGCUGUGAUGAGACGCUCGCACACAUUAUCUGUGACUGCCCGCGCUAUACUGCCGAGAGGCAAGCGAUGUGCAGAGUGAUUGCCCAAUUGGAGAAUCGUCGACUAUCAGAACUGAAACCUCUAGGCUAGUGCUCCCAAAAAACAUCCGCGCAGAAGGGCUUAUUCGCGCUCCUAAGAUUCCUGUGGUCGACGGGGCUUCACAAAAAUUUUAAAACACCGCCCCCUGCCGCUCUAUAGUGUACGCGGUGUCUUUGUGCUCGUGUCUCUUUCUUACUCCCCCCUCCCCCUUCCGCUUUAUCUCUCUUUUUAUCCCCCUAUUCCUUCCCCCCAUGCAGGGUACCCAACCGGAACUACCUCUGAUUAACCUUCCUGCCUUUCUUUCCAUCCUUUCUCUCUCUCUCUCUCUCAUGCUCGGUCAACCUUCCAGAGUGGUUUGGUGUCCAGAUAGACAAGCAGAAUGAGUGGCAAAAUUGUGAAGAAGUCGGCAGCAGGAAAUUGACGCAGUCCGCUACACGGAAGGGAAAAGUCGCAGUUUAGCCCGAAAGCCUAAGCAUUGAUUGCGAUAGCAAAUUAGUAGACAGCUAUACGAAGUAAGGGUACUAGUUUUAUCGGCCGUAUAAACUUGUAAACAUUCGCUUACUAAAUUACCAAGCAUGGUGAAACACAUAUCAUCCCACUUGAUGACCGCGCACACUCGCUGCCAAAACGCUGGGAUGAGUAGCGUUUGAAGCAGCAGCUGAGUAUCGGCUGCCAUAGCGAUGCGAAUGGACAAACGUGUUGCGUCUCGCUCCAACGCGAACUAAGCGGCGAAACCACAGCGCCCACGAAGCUAUCAGCGCUCGGUGCACUCUGUCCCCAUCGCAGGUCACCUUCAAGAUAGGGCCCGUGCGGCCACGCGCGGCUGCGGCAUACGCACCCACCGUCGGAGUAUAGAACAUCCUCCCCCCCUUCCACUCCUCCUCCGGUGGCUUGCACUCUUCCUCCCUGUUUUCCUCCCUUGCGAGGGGAAUGAGCCUCCAUCAUCGGCUCAACCUCGCGCGCUUUCACUCGCACAUGUACCAUAAGGCGCCCGACAACGAUGUCGCCGCCCUUGGACUUUAUACGGACUAUCACGGCGACGGCGACGUCGUAAGUGCGCCUGGAGUGUCCAUAUAAUUGAAAUCGCAAUAAAAAGUGGCGGAACCAAUCUCACAAUGACUGUUGACGGUAAUGCGUUGAGCAUUGAAUCAAUAUAGCGACACGAGGUAUUGCCACCGUCGAAACUAUAGUUAUAUGUGAGGUGUGUACUGCAGCGGGAAUUCUCUUUCGUUCUUCCUAAGAACAAUCGGUGCCAUCGAGCACUGCCGCCACGAAGCCUGCAAGUGACCUCCGAAAUGCAUGGCGCGUCGGCGCUUGCAAACGCUGACAAACGUGUAAGGGUACGGCCACGCUAGCGGCAAAAACGCGCGCACCGAAAAGCGGCAGGAAUCGAGGGUUUUGCGUCGUGCCGCACGAAAAGGGUCUCGGCAGGCCUCGGAAACUCCACUGGUUUUUUUGUCCACGCGAAUUGCAGCGCCAUCCAUGAGAUGGAUGCGAAGCCAAAAUCGCUUUUCCUUUUUUUUUUCUAGUCAACCCUCUCUCAAUUUUGUCGUUUCUCUCUCGCCUUCAACUAUCGGCGGCGCGGCUGGCGCGUCCCGCGCUCAUCGUCGGCCGUGCUGACAACGGCCCAAACGGCAGAAAUUUUUUUUCUGACAGUAUGCGGUCAGUUUUGCGGUUUUCGCCUUCCGCGCUAGUAGUGUGGUCCAUGCAGUACCUCACCGUUGAACCUUUGCCGGCUUUUUUCCGCAAUGUAUCGCAGCUGUCGCUAUUCGUGUGUGGUUCGAUCGUGUACGAACAGAUAAAGACGAAGUGAGCCACGCGACGUGAAAUUCUACCGCAUCCCUAAAGACAACAGCAUGGAAGCGUUUUUAACCUACGCUGGAAGGAUGGACCUACUGGGUUUGCCCAGAGACAAAGUCAACAACCGCAGAAUAUGCUCGGCGCACUUCACGGAGGUGGAUUUUAUGCACCGAGCGAGAAGCAGGCCGUGAGAAGCUAUUCUGCGCAUUGGCCAUUAGAGCAAUUACAAUAAAUGUUUUUUACAUGUGCGUACAUGAAACA